rnacentral:rRNA from 1 species
AGAAGCACCGGCUAACUCCGUGCCAGCAGCCGCGGUAAUACGGAGGGUGCAAGCGUUAAUCGGAAUUACUGGGCGUAAAGCGCACGCAGGCGGUUUGUUAAGUCAGAUGUGAAAUCCCCGGGCUCAACCUGGGAACUGCAUCUGAUACUGGCAAGCUUGAGUCUCGUAGAGGGGGGUAGAAUUCCAGGUGUAGCGGUGAAAUG